CUUCUAAUGGUGGAUCACUCGGCUCGUGCGUC
rnacentral:rRNA from 1 species